UACGGAGGGUGCAAGCGUUAUCCGGAUUCACUGGGUUUAAAGGGUGUGUAGGCGGAUUUUUAAGUCAGUGGUGAAAUCUCCGGGCUCAACCCGGAAACUGCCAUUGAUACUAUUAGUCUUGAAUUCUGUUGAGGUGGGCGGAAUACAUCAUGUAGCGGUGAAAUGCUUAGAUAUGAUGUAGAACACCGAUUGCGAAGGCAGCUCACUAAGCA
rnacentral:rRNA from 1 species